AAUCUGAGAAGGAAAAGUCCAGCUCAGUUAUCUCCAAAGGGCUCAGAGCCGGGAGGACCUGCUGCCUGCGGUGCCCGGGGCUGUGAGGCCCACAAAGCCACCAACGUCUCAGGGGACGGGCCUGACCAGGAGUCAGCUUCCAGUGUCCCUGAAAAGAUGAGGACAACCACGGUGGACUGCUGUUGCUCGCAGCCAGGGGCCCGGAGCCCCGGAAAGUGACGUCCGCCCUCGGGCCCCGAAGCCCGCUGGUCUCAGGCAUCUACCUUCUGAGCCACUAGCGUGGUUGUAUUUUGUGGCUGGUCUGAAAGGGGCUGCGGUUCCCGUUUCCUUUUAGGACUGGCUGCUGCGGGUCUCGGGGACGACUUGGGGUGGUGCCUGGAGCAGGCGGUUAGGGCGAUGGGCCGCGCGCAGUUGAGCCCCACAUUCUCCGAUCGGGUGCAGGGCCAACUGCUUGGGGUGGGGGGUCCCGUGGACUAAGAGCCUGCUGACUCGCACCCCCUGCCCCUGCCCUGUGCCGGCUCGGCGACCUUGGGCAAGCGCGCUUCU
rnacentral:lncRNA from 1 species